UACCAUCAAGACAUGGAGACCGGUAGU
rnacentral:piRNA from 1 species